AAGUCGUAACAAGGUUUCCGUAGGUGAACCUGCGGAAGGAUCAUUAAAGAGAAGGGAGCCAAAUCCUCCCGGAGGCUCCGGCCUCCAAACUCUUCACCCUUUGUCUACCUACCUUUGUUGCUUCGGCGAGCCUUCGCGGGGCUCAGUCCCGCGAAGCCGACCCCGGGGCCUGCGCCCGCCGUCGGAUCGCGCUCGCCAGAGGACCUCAAAACCCCAAUCUAUCCAUGCAGUCUGAGCGAAACACAAUCAAAACUAAAAACUUUCAACAACGGAUCUCUUGGUUCUG
rnacentral:misc_RNA from 1 species